rnacentral:rRNA from 1 species
AGCAAUGUCUGGGAAACUGCCUGAUGGAGGGGGAUAACUACUGGAAGCGGUAGCUAAUACCGCAUAACGUCGCAAGACCAAAGAGGGGGACCUUCGGGCCUCUUGCCAUCGGAUGUGCCCAGAUGGGAUUAGCUAGUAGGUGGGGUAACGGCUCACCUAGGCGACGAUCCCUAGCUGGUCUGAGAGGAUGACCAGCCACACUGGAACUGAGACACGGUCCAG